rnacentral:rRNA from 1 species
UACAGAGGUCCCAAGCGUUGUUCGGAUUCACUGGGCGUAAAGGGUGCGUAGGUGGCCAGGUAAGUUCGGUGUGAAAGCUCGGAGCUUAACUCCGAAAUGUCAUUGGAUACUAUCUGGCUAGAGGGUCGGAGGGGAGACUGGAAUUCCUGGGUGAUGAGCGGUGAAAGUGCGCAGAUAUCAGGAGGAACACCGGUGGCGAAGGCGGGUCUCUGGG